AUUGAACGCUGGCGGCAUGCUUUACACAUGCAAGUCGAACGGUAACAGGCCGCAAGGUGCUGACGAGUGGCGAACGGGUGAGUAAUGCAUCGGAACGUGCCCAGUCGUGGGGGAUAACGCAGCGAAAGCUGCGCUAAUACCGCAUACGAUCUAUGGAUGAAAGCGGGGGACCGUAAGGCCUCGCGCGAUUGGAGCGGCAGAUGUCAGAUUAGGUAGUUGGUGGGGUAAAGGCUCACCAAGCCAACGAUCUGUAGCUGGUCUGAGAGGACGACCAGCCACACUGGGACUGAGACACGGCCCAGACUCCUACGGGAGGCAGCAGUGGGGAAUUUUGGACAAUGGGCGCAAGCCUGAUCCAGCAAUGCCGCGUGCAGGAAGAAGGCCUUCGGGUUGUAAACUGCUUUUGUACGGAACGAAACGGUCCUGGUUAAUACCUGGGGCUAAUGACGGUACCGUAAGAAUAAGCACCGGCUAACUACGUGCCAGCAGCCGCGGUAAGAC
rnacentral:rRNA from 1 species